rnacentral:rRNA from 1 species
AGAGUUUGAUCCUGGCUCAGAAUCAACGCUGGCGGCGCGCUUAACACAUGCAAGUCGCACGAGAAAGUGGAGCAAUCCAUGAGUAAAGUGGCGUACGGGUGAGUAACACGUGGAUCAUCUACCUUUUAGUGGGGAAUACCCCCGGGAAACUGGGGACAAUACCGCAUAAGCUCGUAAGAGGAAAGCCGAAAGGCGCUGAAAGAGGAGUCCGCGGCUGAUUAGCUAGUUGGCGGGGUAACGGCCCACCAAGGCGAAGAUCGGUAGCCGGCCUGAGAGGGCACACGGCCACACUGGCACUGAAACACGGGCCAGACUCCUACGGGAGGCAGCAGUGGGGAAUCUUGCACAAUGGAGGAAACUCUGAUGCAGCGACGCCGCGUGAGCGAUGAAGCCCUUCGGGGUGUAAA